AAAAAACAAAACAAAACAAAACAAAAAACCCAAAAAACAAAACAACAAAACCUCUGCUGGUGCCUGCUUAUCAACAGCAAGCUGGAAUCACAGGGUCAGUGACAUUCACUCCCCCUUUCUGUCUGGGGAAGGACAAGCAACAGGGUAGCCGGCUGUAGCAACAGAGGGUUGAUAUCUAACCUGGAGAAAAAAAUUCCAGCUGGGCUUUCAGGCCUGAGGCUCCUAGGCUGGAGAGGUGAAAGGUUGGGGAGGAAGGGGCCUGGCUUUCUUGCAGAGGGCCUGCGUUACCUGAGGGUGUUUCUCUGCAGCCCUGGCCAGGUUAUGGCUUCUUUGUGCAACGUGGUCUCCCAGGCCAGGACUGUAGGGUGGAACUCCAACACCCAACUAGGCAGUUCCCUCAAGGCCACUCCCAGGCCGACUGACUGACAUAACUCCCAGGUGUGCAGACCUUCCUGAAGGAGUCAGAGACAUGGGGGACAUGGCCCCAACUCCUUUAAUUCUGAAGAAGACUGUUAUCCAGAGCCUGGUAGCAU
rnacentral:lncRNA from 1 species